rnacentral:rRNA from 1 species
GGUAGCGCUGGGCCAGGAGCGGGGGUAGUACGGAGGGUGCAGGCGUGGUUGGGAAUUAGUGGGCGGAAAGCGGGUGUAGGCGGCGUUGCAAGGCGUGUGUGAAAGCCCUCAGCUCAACUGAGGAAGUUCGCCCGAAACUGCAGGGCUUGAGUGCCGGAGAGGGUGGCGGAAGUCCCCAAGUAGAGGUGAAAUUCGUAGAUAUGGGGAGGAACACCGGUGGCGAAGGCGGCCACCUGGACGGUAACUGACGCUGAGACGCGAAAGCGUGGGGAGCAAACAGGAUUAGAUACCCCUGUAGUC